UCUGUGAUGCCCUUAGAUGUUCUGGGCUGCACGCGUAUUACAAUGAUAUACUCAACGGGUUAUUAACCUAACCCGAUGGGGUUUGGGGAAUCUUUAAAAAUUAUAUCAUGAUAGGGAUAGAUCAUUGCAAUUAUUGGUCUUUAACGAGGAAUUCCUAGUAAGUGUUAGUCAUCAACUCGCGUUGAUUACGUCCCUGCCCUUUGUACACACCGC
rnacentral:rRNA from 1 species